UGCGUAGGGGGCAAGCGUUGUCCGGAUUUAUUGGGCGUAAAGAGCGUGUAGGCGGCCAGGUAGGUCCGUUGUGAAAACUGGAGGCUUAACCUCCAGCUGUCGAUGGAAACCAUCUGGCUAGAGUCCGGAAGAGGAGAGUGGAAUUCCUGGUGUAGCGGUGAAAUGCGCAGAUAUCAGGAAGAACACCCGUGGCGAAGGCGGCUCUCUGGGACGGUACUGACGCUGAGACGCGAAAGCGUGGGGAGCAAACAGG
rnacentral:rRNA from 1 species